rnacentral:misc_RNA from 1 species
AAAAUACGAAAAGUAAUAUGAAUUGCAGAAACGAAUCAUCAACUAUUUGAACGCACCUUGCGCUCCUUGGUAUUCCUUGGAGCAUGCCUGUUUGAGUAUCAUGAAAUCUUCAAAGUAAAUCUUUUGUUAACUCAAUUGGUUUCUACUUUGGUAUUGGAGGUCUUUGCAGCUUCACACCUGCUCCUCUUUGUUCAUUAGCUGGAUCUCAGUGUUAUGCUUGGUUCCACUCGGCGUGAUAAGUUAUCUAUCGCUGAGGACACUGUAAAAGGUGGCCAAGGUAAAUGCAGAUGAACCGCUUCUAAUAGUCCAUUGACUUGGACAAUACUUUUAUGAUCUGAUCUCAAAUCAGGUAGGACUACCCGCUGAACUUAAGC